rnacentral:rRNA from 1 species
GAUGAACGCUGGCGGCGUGCUUAACACAUGCAAGUCGAGCGGAAAGGCCCUUUCGGGGGUACUCGAGCGGCGAACGGGUGAGUAACACGUGAGUAACCUGCCUUCAGCUUCGGGAUAACCCCGAGAAAUCGGGGCUAAUACCGGGUAUUCACAGUGUCCCGCAUGGGGCUGUUGUGGAAAGGGUUUUACCGGCUGGGGAUGGGCUCGCGGCCUAUCAGCUUGUUGGUGGGGUAGUGGCCGACCAAGGCGACGACGGGUAGCCGGCCUGAGCGGGCGACCGGCCACACUGGGACUGAGAUACGGCCCAGACUCCUACGGGAGGCAGCAGUGGGGAAUAUUGCGCAAUGGGCGGAAGCCUGACGCAGCGACGCCGCGUGGGGGAUGACGGCCUUCGGGUUGUAAACCUCUUUCAGCAGGGACGAAGGGUGACUGACGGUACCUGCAGAAGAAGCUCCGGCUAACUACGUGCCAGCCGCCGCGGUAA